rnacentral:rRNA from 1 species
AGCGAACGCUGGCGGCAGGCCUAACACAUGCAAGUCGAACGAACCUUUCGGGGUUAGUGGCGGACGGGUGAGUAACACGUGGGAACGUGCCUUUAGGUUCGGAAUAACUCAGGGAAACUUGUGCUAAUACCGAAUGUGCCCUUCGGGGGAAAGAUUAAUCGCCUUUAGAGCGGCCCGCGUCUGAUUAGCUAGUUGGUUGAGGUAAUGGCUCACCAAGGCGACGAUCAGUAGCUGGUCUGAGAGGAGGAUCAGCCACAUUGGGACUGAGACACGGCCCAAACUCCUACGGGAGGCAGCAGUGGGGAAUCUUGCGCAAUGGGCGAAAGCCUGACGCAGCCAUGCCGCGUGAAUGAUGAAGGUCUUAGGAUUGUAAAAUUCUUUCACCGGGGACGAUAAUGACGGUACCCGGAGAAGAAGCACCGGCUAACUACGUG